rnacentral:ncRNA from 2 species
UACAUCUUGUCGGAGUGCCCUGUGCGAAAGCACUGGCUGAGACCGUUAAUUCGGGAUCCGCGGAACCUGAUCAGGCUAAUACCUGCGAAGGGAACAAGAGUAAUUCUGCU